rnacentral:lncRNA from 1 species
AAAACAAUAACGGACACAUUUUGAUAGGUGCCUAUCAAAAUGCUGGAGAUUAAAAAUACUUUAUACACAGAGCUGGCAGCCUUGUACAUUGGUAUCUUUUGGGGAAUGAGUCAAAAGAUUUGUCAUUUUGUUUAUCAUUGAAAUAGCAAUUCUAGCAACUGAUCUUUAAGAAACAGUCACAAAUGUUUCCAAAAUACAGAUUUGAUCCAAAUAAUUUUUUCCAAUAAAAAAAUGUUUCCCCAAAUUGGGAAUUGGUUAAGUAAAUUACAAAAUAGCCGUAAAAACCCUUUAUACACGAAUUUUCAGAACAAUAUCUGAUGUGAACAAUAUACCGUAUAUCUUGUCUAGUAAAAAAGCAGUACAUCGCACAGUCAUUUCUUUUUGGGUCAAAAAGAAAAUGUACAGGGGGGAAAAAGAGGAAAGAUGUACACAUCAAGUGUGAUUGGUGGUUACCUUUAAGUCUGGUCUCUCUAUGUUUAAUACAUUUUCUUCAAUUAGCAUAUAUGCUGUGGGAAAAUAUUUCAAUUGUGUUUUUACAAAGUUGGCAACCAGCGUGAGCAGAUAAAAUGAGCCGCACUCUUUGUAUGGCCUGUCACCCCUCCACAAAGGGGUGAUAUUAUUUUGCUGACAUCCCUGAAGACCACUCAAUCUCAUGUUGCAAAUCUGGCCACGAUGGGGACCAAGCCCAGGCAAGGAGAGAACUGCAAACAUUUCAAGGGCGAACAUUUUCUUGGCUUCCAGGCUCAGAGGAAGGAGGCAAUGUCUUCCGUGCAGAGGGACAGGAGAGCUCAGGAAUGCAAAUGCUACAGUAAUAUUUUGCCCACAGAUUCAGAGAGAAAAAUCCAGCCCAGGCAAGACGCUCCCUUGUGGGCACGGAGAUGUGACAUUGCAUCAUUGCACGUUGCACGGUGGCAGUGGCCUUGCUGUUCUCUCCUGGACAGAGGAGCAACCAGAAUGGCAACUGAGAUUA